UACAGAAGGGGCAAGCGUUAUUCGGAAUUAUUGGGCGUAAAGGGCGCGUAGGCGGCCUGGCAAGUGGAUGGUGAAAUCCCUCGGCUUAACCGAGGAACUGCCAUCCAGACUGCUUGGCUUGAGACCGGGAGAGGUGAGUGGAAUUCCCGGUGUAGCGGUGAAAUGCGCAGAUAUCGGGAGGAACACCAAUGGCGAAGGCAGCUCGCUGGGACGGUACUGACGCUGAGACGCGAAAGCGUGGGGAGCAAACAGG
rnacentral:rRNA from 1 species